GGCUUGCCCCAAACUGCAACGGCUCGCUGGUCCGGACUACAACUCCCAGGGGCCCUCGCGGACGUCGAGCGGCAGCAAUCCGGAGGCGUCCGUCCUGUUGCCGGGCUAAUCCGGAAGUCCGUAGGAGUGUGCUAUUGGCUGCUAAAGAAGUAGGAUGGAGCCUUUGGAAGAGACGCUGAGCACCGGUAUCUCUGUGGACAGAGACCGAGGCUAGGAGGGAGUUGAACCAACUAACAGGAGCAAAUGAACUUGGACAAAUCGUAUGCUGUGGAUGGGCAAGUGUGGGGGCCGGAAGUGCCGGGGUUAGGUCAGCUGAUGGAUGUACGCAACGUAGCUGAGUAAGGAAGGCGGAAGGAGGGGACGUACCGAAUGUACAGCUCAACCAGUGUAGAGAAGACGGACCCGGAUGGAGGCGGGCGGUGGAUCGGAGGCAAGGACUCUUUUGCUGACCUUAAUUAGCUGCCAGUGUCAACUGUGUUUUGCAAAUAUUAAGUGGAAGAAGGGCCAGCAGUGAGAAGGCUCAGCUGAUUGGACUUAACAUCAAGCCUUGAAGAACUGAGUUGAUGGUGGAUGUAGAAAUUGACUCCUGCAAGUUUUCCUCUGAUCCACUAUCCAUUCAUAGAUGGAUAAAUAACUGUAUUAAACAUUUAAAAAGUUAAGUGAUAAAUUCUAGAAAUAAAGAACUCAUUAGGAUUAAAUGUAUUUUGCUGUGUCUAA